CAACUACUCCCUCUGUCCCAAAUUUCUUGUCUUAUAUUUGUCUAGAUACAGAUGUAUCUAAUACUAAAAUGUGACUUGAUACAUCCGUAUCUAGACAAAUCUAACACAAGAAUUUUGGGACGGAGGGAGUACUUU
rnacentral:pre_miRNA from 1 species